rnacentral:rRNA from 1 species
UACGGAGGGUGCAAGCGUUAUCCGGAUUCACUGGGUUUAAAGGGUGCGUAGGCGGGUAGGUAAGUCAGUGGUGAAAUCUUCGAGCUCAACUCGGAAAUUGCCGUUGAUACUAUUUAUCUUGAAUAUCGUUGAGGUUUGCGGAAUAUGUCAUGUAGCGGUGAAAUGCUUAGAGAUGACAUAGAACACCUAUUGCGAAGGCA